GAUGAACGCUGGCGGCGUGCUUAACACAUGCAAGUCGAACGGAAAGGCCCCUGCUUGCAGGGGUACUCGAGUGGCGAACGGGUGAGUAACAAGUGGGUGAUCUGCCCUGCACUUCGGGAUAAGCCUGGGAAACUGGGUCUAAUAACGGAUCGGACGAUGGUUUGGAUGCCAUUGUGGAAAGUUUUUCGGUGUGGGAUGAGCUCGCGGCCUAUCAGCUUGUUGGUGGGGUAAUGGCAUACCAAGGCGUCGACGGGUAGCCGGCCUGAGAGGGUGUCCGGCCACAUUGGGACUGAGAUACGGCCCAGACUCCUACGGGAGGCAGCAGUGGGGAAUAUUGCACAAUGGGCGCAAGCCUGAUACAGCGACGCCGCGUGGGGGAUGACGGCCUUCGGGUUGUAAACUCCUUUCGGUAGGUACGAAGCGCAAGUGACGGUACCUGGAGAAGAAGCACCGGCUAACUACGUG
rnacentral:rRNA from 1 species